ACACACACACACACACCCCCCAACACACACUCCCUGUCCCCUUUCUCCACCCUGCAAGCUAGUUGCAUUUAGCUCACAGAGCCUGGGCUGCGACUUGAAAGAGUUUAGGCAGCAACAGAGUGACCCUGGGGGUGCUCUUGACCGACAGCCGCACCCCCGGCGUCUAGGACCUCCGAGCAGGGAUGCAUCUGGAGGUCUAGGGAAGCACUUCCACCCCCUCCUCUCCUCAACCCUGGCAGGAUGUGCCCGAAAUGCCAGCUCCUCCUUGGUGUUCUCCUUUCAGGAUUUGAAUUCAAAUCCCAUUGGCAGCCCUGAUACCGCUGGGGGAAGGGUGAGGUAGGAAAAGUCCCACCAAUAUCCUAAGGGGAGGUGCGAGUGGCUACCAGGAUGUGAGAUGUCUGUGGGCAAAGUCCCUGCUUAUUCCAUGAGGGGCUGUGGGAUUAGGACUGUGGCUGGAUGCCUCUUCCUCCAACAACUCCAUCUCAGCAUGAAGCUGAGGCUUUAAAACCCUGACAAACUGUGGGUGACUGUCUCUACUUAAUUCCUCCUCCCAAACUCUU
rnacentral:sRNA from 1 species